AGUGAACGCUGGCGGUAGGCCUAACACAUGCAAGCCGAACAGCAGCACAGUAAGAGCUUGCUCUUACGGGUGGCGAGUGGCGGACGGGUGAGGAAUACAUCGGAAUCUACUUUUUCGUGGGGGAUAACGUAGGGAAACUUACGCUAAUACCGCAUACGACCUACGGGUGAAAGCAGGGGAUCUUCGGACCUUGCGCGAUUGAAUGAGCCGAUGUCGGAUUAGCUAGUUGGCGGGGUAAAGGCCCACCAAGGCGACGAUCCGUAGCUGGUCUGAGAGGAUGAUCAGCCACACUGGAACUGAGACACGGUCCAGACUCCUACGGGAGGCAGCAGUGGGGAAUAUUGGACAAUGGGCGCAAGCCUGAUCCAGCCAUACCGCGUGGGUGAAGAAGGCCUUCGGGUUGUAAAGCCCUUUUGUUGGGAAAGAAAAGCAGCAGGUUAAUACCCCGCUGUUCUGACGGUACCCAAAGAAUAAGCACCGGCUAACUUCGUG
rnacentral:rRNA from 1 species